GAUGGACGCUGGCGGCGUGCUUAACACAUGCCAGUCGAACGAUGAAGCCCAGCUUGCUGGGUGGAUUAGUGGCGAACGGGUGAGUAACACGUGAGUAACCUGCCCUUAACUCUGGGAUAAGCCUGGGAAACUGGGUCUAAUACCGGAUAGGAGCGUCCACCGCAUGGUGGGUGUUGGAAAGAUUUAUCGGUUUUGGAUGGACUCGCGGCCUAUCAGCUUGUUGGUGAGGUAAUGGCUCACCAAGGCGACGACGGGUAGCCGGCCUGAGAGGGUGACCGGCCACACUGGGACUGAGACACGGCCCAGACUCCUACGGGAGGCAGCAGUGGGGAAUAUUGCACAAUGGGCGCAAGCCUGAUGCAGCGACGCCGCGUGAGGGAUGAAGGCCUUCGGGUUGUAAACCUCUUUCAGUAGGGAAGAAGCGAAAGUGACGGUACCUGCAGAAGAAGCACCGGCUAACUACGUG
rnacentral:rRNA from 1 species